rnacentral:rRNA from 1 species
ACGCUCGACACCUACGGGAGGCAGCAGUGGGGAAUAUUGCACAAUGGGGGAAACCCUGAUGCAGCGACGCCGCGUGAAGGAAGAAGUAUUUCGGUAUGUAAACUUCUAUCAGCAGGGAAGAAAAUGACGGUACCUGACCAAGAAGCCCCGGCUAACUACGUGCCACAGCCGGCGGUAAUCUGAGCGGGCUGGCAAGGC